rnacentral:rRNA from 1 species
UACGGGGGGGGCAAGCGUUGUUCGGAAUUACUGGGCGUAAAGGGCGCGUAGGCGGCCUGCUAAGUCGGACGUGAAAUCCCUCGGCUCAACCGGGGAACUGCGUCCGAUACUGGCGAGGCUUGAAUCCGGGAGAGGGAUGUGGAAUUCCAGGUGUAGCGGUGAAAUGCGUAGAUAUCUGGAGGAACACCGGUGGCGAAGGCGGCAUCCUGGACCAACACUGACGCUGAGUGAGCGAAAGCCAGGGGAGCAAACGGG